CCCAGCUUCUUCCAUACAGCUUAAGGGUCCGGAUGGUACAGAUGAGUUGCAAAAUUGUGAAAACACUUCAUGGAUUUCCACAGGCAAACCAGAGAAGAGUCAAGGAGUCCCAUCUCCUGCAGACAAGAAUGAAGAAUAUCAUCACACAGAGUGUGGUGACAGUGACAGUGUUUCGGAAGCCAUGUUCUCUAUUGCGCCUGAAAAUCAGGUUGGGAAUACUCAAGUGAGUCUCAAGAGACUCGUUGGGAGUGACAAGGCUGGACAAGAUUAAGUGAUACUUUGAUCCCACAACCCAGGAAAUUCCACCUCCGCAUUUAACCCAUCCAUGAAGUGAAACACCACAUACACACUAGUGAACACACACACUAGGGGGCAGUGAGCACACUUGCCCGGAGCGGUGGGCAGCCCUAUCCACGGAGCAGUUGGGGGUCUUGCUCAAGGACACCUCAGUCAUGAACUGUCAGCCCUGGGGAUCGAACCGGCAACCUUCUGGUCACAGGGCCAGAUCCCUAAACUCCAGCCCACAACUGCCCCAGAAAUGAGCAGAUCAGAGGGACAGUGAAGGUGGAGCAGUUUGGAGAUAAAGCCAGAGAGGCCAGGUUGAGAUGGUUUGGACAUCUAUUUAGGAGGUAUAGUGGAUAUAUUUGCCAAAGAAUGUUGGAGACGGAGCUGCCAGGUAGAAGGAGAAGAGAUAGACCUCAGAGAAGGUUUAUGGAUGUAGUGAAGGUGGACAUGGAGAUGGGUGGGUGUGAAAGUAGAG
ensembl:lncRNA